rnacentral:rRNA from 1 species
ACGGAGAAGGCUAUGUCAGCCGGGCGACGGUUGUCCCGGUUUAAGCAUGUAGGCGGAGGUUCCAGGUAAAUCCGGUACCUUAUUAACGCUGAGGUGUGAUGACGAGGCACUACGGUGCUGAAGUGAUAAAUGCCCUGCUUCCAGGAAAAGCCUCUAAGCAUCAGGUAACACGAAAUCGUACCCCAAACCGACACAGGUGGUCAGGUAGAGAAUACCAAGGCGCUUGAGAGAACUCGGGUGAAGGAACUAGGCAAAAUGGUGCCGUAACUUCGGGAGAAGGCACGCUGAUGUGUAGGUGAAGUCCCUGCGGACGGAGCUGAAAUCAGUCGAAGAUACCAGCUGGCUGCAACUGUUUAUUAAAAACACAGCACUGUGCAAACACGAAAGUGGACGUAUACGGUGUGACGCCUGCCCGGUGCCGGAAGGUUAAUUGAUGGGGUUAGCUGUAAGGCGAAGCUCUUGAUCGAAGCCCCGGUAAACGGCGGCCGUAACUAUAACGGUCCUAAGGUAGCGAAAUUCCUUGUCGGGUAAGUUCCGACCUGCACGAAUGGCGUAAUGAUGGCCAGGCUGUCUCCACCCGAGACUCAGUGAAAUUGAACUCGCUGUGAAGAUGCAGUGUACCCGCGGCAAGACGGAAAGACCCCGUGAACCUUUACUAUAGCUUGACACUGAACACUGGUCCUUGAUGUGUAGGAUAGGUGGGAGGCUUUGAAGCGUGGACGCCAGUCUGCGUGGAGCCGUCCUUGAAAUACCACCCUUUAAUGGCUGGUGUUCUAACGUAGACCCGUAAUCCGGGUUGCGGACAGUGUCUGGUGGGUAGUUUGACUGGGGCGGUCUCCUCCCAAAGAGUAACGGAGGAGCACGAAGGUUGGCUAAUCCUGGUCGGACAUCAGGAGGUUAGUGCAAUGGCAUAAGCCAGCUUGACUGCGAGCGUGACGGCGCGAGCAGGUGCGAAAGCAGGUCAUAGUGAUCCGGUGGUUCUGAAUGGAAGGGCCAUCGCUCAACGGAUAAAAGGUACUCCGGGGAUAACAGGCUGAUACCGCCCAAGAGUUCAUAUCGACGGCGGUGUUUGGC